AAAGCACUUUUGUCCGGAAAGAAAACUUCUGCCCUAAUACGGCGGGAGGAUGACGGUACCGGAAGAAUAAGCACCGGCUAACUACGUGCCAGCAGCCGCGGUAAUACGUAGGGUGCAAGCGUUAAUCGGAAUUACUGGGCGUAAAGCGUGCGCAGGCGGUUCGCUAAGACAGAUGUGAAAUCCCCGGGCUUAACCUGGGAACUGCAUUUGUGACUGGCGGGCUAGAGUAUGGCAGAGGGGGGUAGAAUUCCACGUGUAGCAGUGAAAUGCGUAGAGAUGUGGAGGAAUACCGAUGGCGAAGGCAGCCCCCUGGGCCAAUACUGACGCUCAUGCACGAAAGCGUGGGGAGCAAACAGGAUUAGAUACCCUGGUAGUCCACGCCCUAAACGAUGUCAACUAG
rnacentral:rRNA from 1 species